GUUCUGACUGCCCCUGAGCCAUUAUUUCUGAACAUCUUGGUUUAAGGGACUGUGAGCUAAAUUCUUCUCUCCAUUAUGCUUGCGUAAACCAGGAGUAACACUCUGUUUUCACUUGAGUUAGACAUAUCACCGAUCAUGCAAUUUACCGGGAUGGAUGAAAAAAAGCUGCUGGGCUAGAACUACAAAGAGAAUAGCUUUUUAUGCAGUAUUUUAGUACUUCAUCCUCUGGACCCAUAUGAAACUAGGUCAGCAAGAGUCAUAAAGAAAGUCCUCUUCUCAAGAUGGUCCAAGACCAGUGGGGAAAGAAGAGGGUACCUGAGUGUCCUGCCAGUCUACACCAGUCAGCAGCAGUGCCUGAAGGCCAGCAGCAGAUCACAGUCCAACUCAGGUACCAUCUUCUAUCUGUCCAGGAGGCCACAACUGCCAGCUGUUACUCUCUCAGUCCCAAAUUCAGCAAGAGUUUACAUUACACUUUGGAUUUUGAGGCUGAAGAGAGUUUUUGGAAGGAAACCCAGCCCCUGUUUGACAGUCUCUUAGAUGUUACCAAAAAUGACAAUAACUGUCCUUUUGGGGAAAAGAGAAGAGGUUAAUUGAGAUGGGUUGGAGCUGUUAAAGUCCAAUCCUGUUUCAUCCCAGGUGGUGUUUGGGAUUCAGCUGGAGCCAGUAGAGGUGGAGAUGUCAUCUGGGUCUCUUUCUCUGGCCUGAUCCGGUCAGGACAUCUCUCAAGGUCAAGAUGAUGAAGGCCUGGAGGUGCAGGAGAUGGUGGGGGUGUAGCCCUGAUGGUGAAGCUCACUCCAGAACCCAAUUUUUCUUAAAGCCUCUUUCAUUAAGGGCCCACAAAGGGAAUGGUCAGUGAAACAACCCAUCCCCUCAUUAUUUUGUCCACUAAUUAGGCCUGGUUUCUGGCACACCAGUUUUGAGUCACUGAUUUCUGAUUCCACCCUCUUCUUGUUUGCAAGGCUUGAUCUUAACACAGUCCUUGAGUUAUAUCAGUUGGACUUUUUGUUUGGACUAAUUCAAUCUGUCUCCCUUUUGUACCUUUUCCCAUCAACAUUUGUUGUUAUAGGUUAUUGUGACAUCUUAUGAACUUACCCUAACUGUGAGUUCAACUCUAAAAAGUGAGUGUAAAUUUGUAGGCCCAAUUAUCACAACACUUGCCAAUAUCCAUCUUUCUCAUCUGAAAUAGUGGAUAUGCUUUUACCAGAUAGUUAGCAUUAAACAUCUGGGGAUGGAGUAAUUCUGUCCCAGGAUAGCCUUAUUAAGGUCUCUAGGAUCCAAAUACAUCCUAAUCGUGCCAUUUUUCUUUUCAAUUAAGACCAAGCUGGUAAUCCAUGGAGUGGGUCAAUUCACUUUUGCUAUGACCCUUUUCUAAUGGCCUGCAUGCAUCUCUAAGUCUGUCUGUCACUGCAAAGGGGAUAUUUCUGCAGGAGUGUAUGAUGGGGUGACUGAUGGGUCUGUGAUGCUUCCCAUGGAACUCUCCUAGUUCUCUAAGGUUUUUUCGGUAUGGUGCAAUCAAUUUUUCUUUAGUGUUGGGUGCUGUGGUGCAAAGCAUGCCUGUUCUGUUUAUUAGGUAGCUGUGUGCAAGCUUCUUUGCUUAACUUUGAUGUUAUAAUGCCUUAGUAAUGAAGAACUGAAGACUGACCUUCGCCUUGGCCAUCACUGCUGUUAGUGUGACUUCUCCUUCAGAGUCUAUUCUGGAACUGCCAUAUGCUAUAUGUGCAACAUUAGAUGGCUUUAUUCUGAUGGGACCUGGUAUCUUUUUCAAAAGGUGAACUGAUAAAAUAUUAGCUUCAUCUCCAGUAUCAUUCAGGUGCAUUCUUUAUAUUCAGUGAAUGUAUACACUGCUGAGUGUGUGUUAUAUGUUUUCUAUUACCCUGUGAUAGUAUAUCUACAAGGGAUUGCUCACAUUCUAGUUCAGCCAGAUAUUUGUGGCUUUGUCUUUUGGGUAUGUUUGUUGCUCUGCACAUAGAAGAAUAAUGAUUUAAUUGUCCACACUUGUGACGUUACUGCAAUGGCUGGGCAGACUCUGGGUGGGUGUGUCUUACCACACAGCAUGUGCAUAGUUUCUUUGUGUGAGCUGUUGGUGAGUCUGCUUUGCUGUGAUUCUCAUGUGACUGGGUCUUGUCCAUACUUUUGUGUAAAAGCCUGUAUAAACUUGUCAGAAUGUGGCCCAGCUUUGAGCUCUAUUUGUGUCUUUAUGGCUUGAGAGGGUGUGCAAAUAUAUAUUGCUUUUUACAAGCCCAAAUCAGUCUUCCUCAACAACUUUUCCUUUAGUCAUUUAUCAGUGACUCUGAACACAGUGUCUCUGAGCAUGUCAUUUUUAAUAUUUCCAAACUCACAAUCUCUUACUUUUUGUCUCUGUGACAUACUUGUCUAUCUUCUCUUCUCCUAGGUGUAGGUGAGCCCAGAACAGGUAUAGUUUGAACAUCACAUUAUUCUCAGGAUUACAAUAGAUCCUAAUGUCACACCCCAACGGCCCCUCCCUCAGGGAGUCCCCGGGGAAGGCAGAUCAGCACUGUAUGUAGCUAAUGCUGUCGCAAGCAUCACACAGCAUUUUGGGGAGGGUCAAAAGUGUGUGAGUGGGGAAUGGAAGGAGUAUGAGAGGCCAAGAGAGAGGGGGCAGAGAAAGAAGAAGAGCAGAGAACGGGUUAACUCCAUGCUCCUUCUAGGCCCCAAGAUAAAAUGCUCAAGGCCACAGCACACAUCUGACUCUCGGCUGCCGGCCAAAAAUGAGGGGGGCCCGGAAUGGAACAGCCACAGACCUGCAGAGCCAGCCCGUAACAAGCAAGGCAAGCGAAGGCCAGCACAGAGGAAAACAAAGAGAACAACAGAGUCUAGCCGGUGUGUUUUGGGGAAAGUCAAGGAGACCACAGAAAGCGGUUUGGACUGGCAGAAGGAGCACCAGGAACAGAGGUCGCGGAAUGGAACACCCUCAAAAGAGCCCAGGACUUAAAACCCUCCUGAGCGCUGGAGCAAUUGGGAGAUUACAGCGGAUCCCCCAGCUGACCUGGGCCCAGGGCAAGAACUCCCAUCCACCCUUCCCCUCUUCUUCUUACGUUACACCCAGGCCUGGCCAGGUUUGGGUAGUGUGGAUGUGGAACACUUUUGAUGGCAAUGGGAAAUCCACACACAUAGGGAAAGCCAAUGGACUAAAGCAAAAUCUGCCAUAUAGAUCAGAAAGGAGAAAUUUCCCCUUUGUCUCCUACCACCCAGUUUUCUUCUCCAAUGCAGAGACACACUGUCCUGUAUUGUGGUCAGACUAAAAGUUUGUUUUCCAUUCUACAUUUUGAUGGAUGUUGUAAAAUGGGACUAGUACUGUGCUGUUCUUAAAAACAAACAAACAAACAAACCUAUUUCCAUGCAGUGGUAUUUGAGAUCUCACUGUUUUUCUCUAUAUUCUUCCCUGGAAUAUAUUCUUAACAGUGGGUUCUUAGAUACCAAGUCUGCAAUGACCGGAAAAUGCUGACUUUUUAAAUGGUGAUCUCUUUAAAUACUUUUUACUGGUGACUUCAGAUAUUUUGGUACACAUUAGUAGCACAACACAAACUCACCAUUGUAAAAUGGUAAACCCCUUCAUUUCUGAUUGCGUUUCACAUACCUGCAUCCAUACAUUCCAGGGUGAAAGAAAUAUCAUCAAGAGCAACUUCUGUGAACUCAUUCCCUCCCACUUCAGCUUCAAAUGCGACUCUGAAAGGACUGUUGCUAGAGAGAACCACAUUUGCAUACGUCCACCUGCUUCCUUUAUUUCCAUUUGAAGACCACAUCAGAAUAUGCAUUCCAUAUUCUUCAACAGUGUACACCUAUUGACAACAAAACCCAGGAAAUAAAAUGUAAUCAGCAUGAAACUACAGAGAAGUACAGCUAGUUAGGUCAACCCAACAAAGUCUGAGGGCUCAGCCGACCGGCUAUGUAAUACGGAGCCUUUCUGCUGUGGUUCAUUACCUGGUUGGUGAUGACUGAAUAUUGUGACAUGGCCGUGGUGGUCUCAGUCCAAUUUUUAGUAAACAAGAGUUCACAUAACAGAAAAUGCUGCUAGAAGUUAUUAAUUGGGAAACCCUGCUGCCAGCCUUGGCCAGCAUAGAAGCAGAUCCAAAAUCUAUUUA